GACGAACGCUGGCGGCGUGCUUAACACAUGCAAGUCGAACGGUAAGGCUCCAGCUUGCUGGGGUACACGAGUGGCGAACGGGUGAGUAACACGUGGGUGACCUGCCCUGCACUUCGGGAUAAGCCUGGGAAACUGGGUCUAAUACCGGAUAGGACCGCACCGUGAGGGUGUGGUGGAAAGUUUUUUCGGUGUGGGAUGGGCCCGCGGCCUAUCAGCUUGUUGGUGGGGUAAUGGCCUACCAAGGCGGCGACGGGUAGCCGGCCUGAGAGGGUGGACGGCCACAUUGGGACUGAGACACGGCCCAGACUCCUACGGGAGGCAGCAGUGGGGAAUAUUGCACAAUGGGCGGAAGCCUGAUGCAGCGACGCCGCGUGGGGGAUGACGGCCUUCGGGUUGUAAACUCCUUUCACCAUCGACGAAGGGUUUCUGACGGUAGAUGGAGAAGAAGCACCGGCUAACUACGUGCCAGCAGCCGCGGUAAUACGUAGGGUGCGAGCGUUGUCCGGAAUUACUGGGCGUAAAGAGCUCGUAGGUGGUUUGUCGCGUCGUCUGUGAAAUUCCGGGGCUUAACUCCGGGCGUGCAGGCGAUACGGGCAUAACUUGAGUACUGUAGGGGAGACUGGAAUUCCUGGUGUAGCGGUGAAAUGCGCAGAUAUCAGGAGGAACACCGGUGGCGAAGGCGGGUCUCUGGGCAGUAACUGACGCUGAGGAGCGAAAGCAUGGGGAGCGAACAGGAUUAGAUACCCUGGUAGUCCAUGCCGCAAACGGUGGGCGCUAGGUGUGGGUUUCCUUCCACGGGAUCCGUGCCGUAGCUAACGCAUUAAGCGCCCCGCCUGGGGAGUACGGCCGCAAGGCUAAAACUCAAAGGAAUUGACGGGGGCCCGCACAAGCGGCGGAGCAUGUGGAUUAAUUCGAUGCAACGCGAAGAACCUUACCUGGGCUUGACAUAUACAGGAUCGCGCCAGAGAUGGUGUUUCCCUUGUGGCUUGUAUACAGGUGGUGCAUGGUUGUCGUCAGCUCGUGUCGUGAGAUGUUGGGUUAAGUCCCGCAACGAGCGCAACCCUUGUCUUAUGUUGCCAGCACGUUGUGGUGGGGACUCGUAAGAAACUGCCGGGGUUAACUCGGAGGAAGGUGGGGAUGACGUCAAAUCAUCAUGCCCCUUAUGUCCAGGGCUUCACACAUGCUACAAUGGUCGGUACAGUGGGUUGCCAGUCCGUGAGGGCGAGCUAAUCCCGCAAAGCCGGUCUCAGUUCGGAUCGGGGUCUGCAACUCGACCCCGUGAAGUCGGAGUCGCUAGUAAUCGCAGAUCAGCAACGCUGCGGUGAAUACGUUCCCGGGCC
rnacentral:rRNA from 1 species